UACGUAGGGUGCAAGCGUUAAUCGGAAUUACUGGGCGUAAAGCGUGCGCAGGCGGUGAUGUAAGACAGAUGUGAAAUCCCCGGGCUCAACCUGGGAACUGCAUUUGUGACUGCAUCGCUGGAGUACGGCAGAGGGGGAUGGAAUUCCGCGUGUAGCAGUGAAAUGCGUAGAUAUGCGGAGGAACACCGAUGGCGAAGGCAAUCCCCUGGGCCUGUACUGACGCUGAGGAGCGAAAGCGUGGGGAGCGAACAGG
rnacentral:rRNA from 1 species